UUUGCAAAAGGGCAAACGCAGCCUCUGCCGAGAUCCAGAACUGCCUGGUUAGUUGCUGCGAUGCACUGUGGGGUUGUUAGUUUCAACAACUUCACUUCAGGCCUUCAUUCAACCUUGCAGAUGCAGAUGUUUUGGGAUUGAAAAGUCUCCUGAGGCAAAUUGACAAUUUCCUUUUUGUGGAAGGAAAUCCAUGUGAACACAGAGGCAGAACCUGCAAACUCUGCACACAGGGACCAGUCUGGCCUUAGUAUAAUAAGAAUAGUUCUUGAAAUCACCUCUUGAGGGCACUAUUGUGCAACCAUGUGGCUCACUGGACGUAAAUAGCAUCAAAUAGCUGAGUGCUGUACUGUGGCUUCUGAAAACCACAAAUUACAGGUUCAAUUUGUAGGUUACUGUAAUCAUCAUGUCUAAGUAGCAGAAAGUAUUUGCAUGGCUGCUAUAUGAAGUUAAAUCAAAGGUACAGUAAAGCAGUCAGUACAUAAUGUAGACCAAUGGACAGAUGUAUACUUAAGUCAUGUAAACCUUACGUGUUAUCAGGGGUGUAGUUUCUCAGCACAGUGUGCUAAUGGUUGGACUGUCACCUCUAUUAAUAGAACUUUGUCUUCUGACCCUGUGCAAAAACACUGCUGAGGUUGUGACAAACAGCACUGCCUAAAAUGUAUCACCUCUGCUAGAAAACAUGGAAGAGAAGACACUAAAAAGUUACUUGUUAAGUAACAUAGGGUUUAUGCAAUUAGUGCACAGUGAGAGAUAUACACAUAAGCACAAGGGGAAACAAUAAAAAUUCAAAAUACAAUUGCUAGUGAAGAGUGUUCACAGAAAAGCCAGUCAUCUCCAACUGAAUCAUACUGGUUUCCUGUGCUUUACUAACUUUCUUCUUCUAGCUUGUUAGAAACGUACUCAUCAAUCACAAUUUAAAUGACCACCCAAAUGUUUUUCUAUGUACUAUAUAUAUAUAUGUAUGAAUCUCCCAAAGUGAAAUCAUAUGGGCAGUGCCGGUUUUAUGGAGGCCUGCAAUUAGAAACUGGGCAGUCUAAGGUCUGAUAAUGAACAAGAAACUCUUACCAGCAAUAAUGUCAUCC